rnacentral:rRNA from 1 species
GUUCGACCGAUCCCACCUCCGGAGCUGAAGUUUGGCAGUUAUUCGCGGCCUUAAGAAAACUUCGGCCACGAGAACAAUCUAGGUCCCUUCGAAAUCUCGCCUCGCCUCGCCUCCCCUCCCCUCCCCUCCUCCGCCGCCUUUCUACCCCACUUUCCAGGCGCCGGCUUGUCAGAUCCGGGCGCCAGCUUCAGCCACGAUAUUCAACUACUGGGUGUGUUAAAUUCUCGAGGAUGAUGAAUCGUCAGUUUGCGAAUAUGAUAGUACACAAUUACCCCAAGGGAGUUUAUUCCCUGCGCCGUAUCAACCUCAUGGAGCAUCUCUUCUACCCUUCAACAGAAGCUGCCCAAAAAGCAGAAGCCAAUAAGAAGGGAUGGUUAUCCACCAUGUUGAAAGGGAGCCCCAAGCAGCGUCUGCCCAAGACGAACAUCAACUUCUCAUCACUGCCUAACAUGGCCGACUUAACGGCCAGACAUUUCUUCUCCCUGCUGAAAGGGCAGGGGGAGGGCUCUGUCAUGUUCGUCAGCCCUAACGUCCACACGAUGAUGUACGACACUAGCACGGACUUUGUCUUUGGCAUGCCCCAAGCCAACUUCUGUAAGCAGAGCGACUCAAUCUCCCUGUCCAUCACUCGGCGGGGCUAUGGCCAAGAAUACCACGAGCUGUAUGUCAUAGGCAAAGGAGAGGACGGUGGCUUGUUUGAGGUCUUGAAAUAUACCAGGACAACUGAUCUGAGCAAACCGCCUUGGUACUGGCGACCUCUGCCCUGCCCGCCAUUGUUUCCGCAGUGCCUGCCUGGCGGCAACAGCAAAGUUUGUGCUCCCUCUGCAGCGGUCGUGUUGGAUGCCACCACAAUAUGUGCCUCAUCCGUGGAUGCCGGAGCCUGCGCCUUCUUUGACACGGUAACCCGCGAGUGGAGACAGGCUGGCAGCUGGGUGCUGCCCGUCCAUGGUGCGGCAGAGUAUGUCCCUGAGUUUGGCCUCUGGUUUGGCCUCGACGAUGCCAUUGGCAACCCCAACCAUUGCCUGCGUGCUUUUGACUUCGAUUCCUCCAGGCAACCGGUGGUGCGGCACUCCUGGAGCUAUCUCAGCCGCCUGCCGGAUGAGUGCUUGCCACGGCAGAGGCACCUGCUAAACAUGGGCUCAGGUUUGCUGAAGAGUGAUGACGAGGAGGCAAUGUGGCGUGGGGCAAUGAUGCUCAGGGAGAAUGCGAAGAACAUGAUGUGUAUCUGUGCUGCUGCUCAAGAUGAUGGUGCGAUGGACUGAAGCUUGCACUGAUGUAUUUCCGUUAUUCAUUAAUGAAAAGGGGCGAUGUGUGGUUAAAAAAAAGUAUUAACAUUGCUGAUGUAAGGAUGGUCGGCACAUCUGCGGGUGAAACGUGACUAAUAUAUAUCCUGUGUGUUUGAGC